ACAUAGGAAAAACCACUCGGUGUCUAAAAACUCGGAUUUCAGAACAUAGGAGCAAUAUAAGAACUUGUGAUGAAAAAAACCCUGUUGCGGUGCACUUCAAUUCCAUGAAACACAAUCUAUCCUCGUUGAGAUACAUUGGGAUUGAACAUGUAAAAGUCCCAAGAAGGGGAGGGGAUAUCAACAGUAUUCUUCUAAGAAGAGAGGAAUUUUAUAUAUUUUACCUCAAUACCUUGACGUCCUUUAUAUGACUGCCUGAAGAGAACAUGU